rnacentral:rRNA from 1 species
AAACCGUUCAGGGGUAAACCUGUGAAACCCAAAAGAUCGAAUGAGGAGAUUCAUCGUCAGCGUAUUCAGUAUUAAURCAGGCUAUGAUGUGAUAAUAGAAUCCUUGUGRUCACUARAUUAUACUUGCUUGURUUAUUUUUGCUGGGUAUGUCGGCGUGCACUUCUCCUCUAGUAGAACGUCGCAACCCGUUAGAUGUUYAUCUAUGGYUYGGAUGGUAGCCUUCGAUAUUGAGCCGCAAUUAUUUGCGUUAGACUUACCGCAAGUAUGACUUUAAUCURGUAGUGCGGAUYUAAUGCCGUCGCUGGACAAAGCCUACUGUUAGCYGGUAAUGUCUUUAACUGGCUUAUUUACCGGUUAGCGAUGCUACUGCUUUGGGUACUUACAGGACCCGUCUUGAAACACGGACCAAGGAGUCUAACAUGUGCGCGAGUCAUUGGGAUAUAUUUAUAUAACUCAAACCUAAAGGCGUAAUGAAAGUAAAGAUUGUCUUCCGACAAUUGAGGGAAGAUGAGUUACGUUACGAUGUAAUUCCGCAUUCCCAGGACGUUCUAUUCUCAUUGAGAAGGGGCGUACCUAGAGCGUACACGUU